rnacentral:rRNA from 1 species
GUGGGGAAUAUUGGACAAUGGGGGGAACCCUGAUCCAGCCAUGCCGCGUGUGUGAAGAAGGCCUUUUGGUUGUAAAGCACUUUAAGCGAGGAGGAGGCUACUCUAGUUAAUACCUAGGGAUAGUGGACGUUACUCGCAGAAUAAGCACCGGCUAACUCUGUGCCAGCAGCCGCGGUAAUACAGAGGGUGCGAGCGUUAAUCGGAUUUACUGGGCGUAAAGCGUGCGUAGGUGGCCAAUUAAGUCAAAUGUGAAAUCCCCGAGCUUAACUUGGGAAUUGCAUUCGAUACUGGUUGGCUAGAGUAUGGGAGAGGAUGGUAGAAUUCCAGGUGUAGCGGUGAAAUGCGUAGAGAUCUGGAGGAAUACCGAUGGCGAAGGCAGCCAUCUGGCCUAAUACUGACACUGAGGUACGAAAGCAUGGGGAGCAAACAGGAUUAGAAACCCCUGUAGUCC